UACGAAGGGGGCUAGCGUUGCUCGGAAUCACUGGGCGUAAAGGGUGCGUAGGCGGGUCUUUAAGUCAGGGUGAAAUCCUGGAGCUCAACUCCAGAACUGCCUUUGAUACUGAAGAUCUUGAGUUCGGAGAGGUGAGUGGAACUGCGAGUGUAGAGGUGAAAUUCGUAGAUAUUCGCAAGAACACCAGUGGCGAAGGCGGCUCACUGGCCCGAUACUGACGCUGAGGCACGAAAGCGUGGGAGCAAACAGGG
rnacentral:rRNA from 1 species